rnacentral:lncRNA from 1 species
GGCCGAAUGUGCCUCCGCAUCCAUGCAAAUGUUCGGCGGCCGAACAUGAGGUUCGGCGGCCGAACCUUGACUUCCCUCACUCAUGCUUUCGGGGGCCUAAAGUGCCUCCAAAACGCAUGCAUGUUCGGCGGCCGAACUUGACUUUCGGCGGCCGAACCUGGGUUUUCCUCCAAGGACUUUUCAUGUAAAAACUCAUUUAAUUUCAUACUUAAAAUCAUAAAACACCUUAAAACAUUUUUAUAAAACAUGAUUCUACCCUUCUA